rnacentral:rRNA from 1 species
AAUGGGGGAAACCCUGACGCAGCAACGCCGCGUGAGUGAGGAAGGCCUUCGGGUCGUAAAGCUCUGUCAGAUGGGAAGAAAUGGGUGGGGGCUAAUAUCGUCCAUCCUUGACGGUACCAUCAGAGGAAGCACCGGCUAACUCCGUGCCAGCAGCCGCGGUAAUACGGGGGGUGCAAGCGUUGUUCGGAAUCAUUGGGCGUAAAGCGCGCGCAGGCGGCUUGGUAAGUCAGAUGUGAAAUCCCUGGGCUUAACCCAGGAAGUGCAUUUGAUACUGCCUCGCUAGAGUACGGGAGAGGAAAGUGGAAUUCCUGGUGUAGAGGUGAAAUUCGUAGAUAUCAGGAGGAACACCGGUGGCGAAGGCGACUUUCUGGCCCGAUACUGACGCUCAGGCGCGAAAGCGUGGGGAGCAAA